rnacentral:rRNA from 1 species
AGUGAACGCUGGCGGUAGGCCUAACACAUGCCAGUCGAACGGCAGCACAGUAAGAGCUUGCUCUUACGGGUGGCGAGUGGCGGACGGGUGAGGAAUACAUCGGAAUCUACUUUUUCGUGGGGGAUAACGUAGGGAAACUUACGCUAAUACCGCAUACGACCUACGGGUGAAAGCAGGGGAUCUUCGGACCUUGCGCGAUUGAAUGAGCCGAUGUCGGAUUAGCUAGUUGGCGGGGUAAAGGCCCACCAAGGCGACGAUCCGUAGCUGGUCUGAGAGGAUGAUCAGCCACACUGGAAGUGAGACACGGUCCAGACUCCUACGGGAGGCAGCAGUGGGGAAUAUUGGACAAUGGGCGCAAGCCUGAUCCAGCCAUACCGCGUGGGUGAAGAAGGCCUUCGGGUUGUAAAGCCCUUUUGUUGGGAAAGAAAAGCAGCAGGUUAAUACCCCGCUGUUCUGACGGUACCCAAAGAAUAAGCACCGGCUAACUUCGUG